CUGGGGGCUCGGUCCUCCGCGCCAUGCGGGAGGUCACCGAGCUGCGGGUCCGAAAGCCCUGGUGGGAAUCAGGCUCGGGACCUCCACCUCCGCCCGCCCCCGGCCACGCGGGGGCAGGAGAGCGGGGCAGAGAGGAAGGAAACCUACAGGUCACAGAGACCAAAAAUAACCGGGGAGAGGAAGGGCGAGCCUGCCAGCAUCAACUACCCUCUCUCCAGCGGGGCUAGAACACUUGCCCCUGCCCCUCGAGUAAAACCGCUUCCUAACCUCGGUUUUGCAUCUCACGAUCAUCUACUAAACAGCCAAGCCAGGACCACCGGAGCAAUCUGCCCCUCCACCUCCUAGAGCACGAAUGGCCCGGCUCCCCAUUUCUUCACUGUAAUUCAAGCCCCCCAGGACCCUCACCUUGAAACUUGGACUCAAAGAUUUAUACCCGACAAGUGGGGGAUGGGGAGGGAGGGAGGCUGUGUAAUUUAAAAAAGCAUAUUGAGCCUUAUAGUUUUAUAUGUGGGAAAUAAAAAUAGUCCUACCCCCCAAAA